rnacentral:piRNA from 1 species
UAGGCAAGCUAGGCUCUAAAAAGACCAUGG